rnacentral:rRNA from 1 species
UACGUAGGGAGCAAGCGUUGUCCGGAAUCAUUGGGCGUAAAGCGCGUGUAGGCGGCUUGGUAAGUCUGCUCUGAAAGCCCGGGGCUCAACCCCGGGAGGCGGGUGGAUACUGCUGAGCUCGAGUCCGGAAGAGGCGAGUGGAAUUCCCGGUGUAGCGGUGGAAUGCGUAGAGAUCGGGAAGAACAUCGGUGGCGAAGGCGGCCUGCUGGGCUCUUGCUGACACUGAUGCGCGACAGCGUGGGGAGCAAACAGG